rnacentral:rRNA from 1 species
UCCAGACUCCUACGGGAGGCAGCAGUGGGGGAUAUUGCACAAUGGGGGCAACCCUGAUGCAGCGACGCCGCGUGAGCGAUGGAGUACUUCGGUAUGUAAAGCUCUGUCAGCAGGGAAGAGAAUGACGGUACCUGACCAAGAAGCCCCGGCUAAAUACGUGCCAGCAGCCGCGGUAAUACGUAUGGGGCAAGCGUUAUCCGGAUUUACUGGGUGUAAAGGGAGCGUAGGCGGCAGGGCAAGCCUGAUGUGAAAGCCCGGGGCUCAACCCCGGGACUGCAUUGGGAACUGCCCCGCUCGAGUGCCGGAGGGGCAGGCGGAAUUCCUAGUGUAGCGGUGAAAUGCAUAGAUAUUACACAGAACACCGAUUGCGAAGGCAGCUUGCUAGGCCGGAUCUGACACUGAUGCACGAAAGCGUGGGGAUCGAACAGGAUUAGAUACCCUCGUAA